GCCUUGAAGAAACAAGAGGCUGUGGGGUGUGCUGCCUCCGGGAAGGGCCUGGGGACCUGCAGGCAGGACCCGUGGGCAGCCUUGCUGAAUGCCUUGAUCUUCUUGAUGGAAGCAACUGAAUUCUGCCCUGGUCCUGUGGGCCCGAGGAGGACCCUGAGCUCCAGAAAGGAAAGCCGCUGACUCCUCGAUUCUGGCCUCUGAGAUGCUGAGCAGGAGACCUUGGGGAGCUGUGCCUGGACUCUCGACCCCUGGACCCUGAGAGAUGAGAAGACUGACUCAAGAGAGCCCAAAGUACUUGCUCCAGGCCUCCCAGCUGGAGCUGUGUGAAGACCCACCCCAGCGUCCCAAGCCUGCUGCCAGGACGAAAUGAGGUCCCUGUAACAGUGGCCAUUGGACACAGCUCGGCACUUUCCCUCUGACCCCACUCA